rnacentral:rRNA from 1 species
AUACGGAGGGGGUUAGCGUUGUUCGGAAUUACUGGGCGUAAAGCGCACGUAGGCGGACUGGAAAGUUGGGGGUGAAAUCCCGGGGCUCAACCCCGGAACUGCCUCCAAAACUUCCAAUCUAGAGAUCGAGAGAGGUAAGUGGAAUUCCUAGUGUAGAGGUGAAAUUCGUAGAUAUUAGGAGGAACACCAGUUGCGAAGGCGGCUUACUGGCUCGAUACUGACGCUGAGGUGCGAAAGCGUGGGGAGCAAACAGGAUUAGAAACCCUAGUAGUCC